rnacentral:rRNA from 1 species
AGAACGAACGCUGGCGGCAUGCCUAAUACAUGUAAGUCGAACGAAGGCUUCGGCCUUAGUGGCGCACGGGUGCGUAACGCGUGGGAAUCUGCCCCUUGGUUCGGAAUAACAGUUGGAAACGACUGUUAAUACCGGAUGAUGACGAAAGUCCAAAGAUUUA